UCCGAUUUGACAUCGGCAGUCCCCCUAGAGUCCCCGACAUGACUCGCUGGCAACUAGGGGCAGGGGUUGCGCUCGUUGCGGGACUUAACCCAACAUCUCACGGCACGAGCUGGCGACAGCCAUGCACCACCUGCGCACCAACCACAAGGGAAGCCCCAUCUCUGGGGAUGUCUGGCGCAUGUCAAGCCCAGGUAAGGUUCUUCGCGUUGCAUCGAAUUAAUCCACAUGCUCCGCCGCUUGUGCGGGUCCCCGUCAAUUCCUUUGAGUUUUAGCCUUGCGGCCGUACUCCCCAGGCGGGGUGCUUAAUGCGUUAGCUUCGACACGGAGAGGGUUGAAGACCUCCCCACACCUAGCACCCAUCGUUUACGGCUGGGACUAC
rnacentral:misc_RNA from 1 species